GGGCCGUUAGCUCAAUCGGUAGAGCAUCUGACUCUUAAUCAGCAGGUCCCCGGUUCGAUCCCGGGACGGCCCACCA
rnacentral:tRNA from 1 species